rnacentral:rRNA from 1 species
UAGAGUUUGAUCCUGGCUCAGGAUGAACGCUGGCGGUAUGCCUAACACAUGCAAGUCGUACGAGAGUUUUUAACUCAAGUGGCGGACGGGUGAGUAACACGUGAGAAUUUGCCUUUAGGAGGGGGAUAACAGAGUGAAAACGCUGCUAAUACCCCAUAUGCUUUCGAGUGAAAUGGAUUUAUUCGCCUAAAGAGAAGCUCGCGGCUGAUUAGCUUGUUGGUAAGGUAAUGGCUUACCAAGGCGACGAUCAGUAUCUGGUUUGAGAGGACGAUCAGACACACUGGAACUGAGACACGGUCCAGACUCCUACGGGAGGCAGCAGUGGGGAAUUUUCCGCAAUGGGCGAAAGCCUGACGGAGCAAUACCGCGUGAGGGAUGACGGCCUAUGGGUUGUAAACCUCUUUUCUCAGGGAGGAAAUCAAUGACGUUACCUGAGGAAUAAGCAUCGGCUAACUCCGUGCCAGCAGCCGCGGUAAGACGGAGGAUGCAAGUGUUAUCCGGAAUCACUGGGCGUAAAGCGUCUGUAGGUGGUUUAAUAAGUCAACUGUUAAAUCUUGAAAGCUCAACUUCAAAAUCGCAGUCGAAACUAUUAGACUAGA